rnacentral:tRNA from 1 species
UCCCAGGUGGCUUCAUGGUUAAAGAAUCUGCCUGCCAAUGCAGGAGACUCAGGUUCGAUCCCUGGGUUGGGAA